rnacentral:rRNA from 1 species
UGCAAGUCGCACGAGAAAGUGGAGCAAUCCAUGAGUACAGUGGCGUACGGGUGAGUAACACGUGGAUCAUCUACCUCUUAGUGGGGAAUAACCCUGGGAAACCGGGGCUAAUACCGCAUAAGCUCGAGAGAGGAAAGCAGCAAUGCGCUGAGAGAGGAGUCCGCGGCCGAUUAGCUAGUUGGCAGGGUAAAAGCCUACCAAGGCAAAGAUCGGUAGCCGGCCUGAGAGGGCACACGGCCACACUGGCACUGAAACACGGGCCAGACUCCUACGGGAGGCAGCAGUGGGGAAUCUUGCACAAUGGGGGAAACCCUGAUGCAGCGACGCCGCGUGAGCGAUGAAGCCCUUCGGGGUGUAAAGCUCUUUCGGCAGGGACGAUCAUGACGGUACCUGCAGAAGCAGCUGCGGCUAACUACGUGCCAGCAGCCGCGGUAAUACGUAGGCAGCGAGCGUUGUUCGGAGUUACUGGGCGUAAAGGGUGUGUAGGCGGUUGCUUAAGUUUGGUGUGAAAUCUCCCGGCUCAACUGGGAGGGUGCGCCGAAUACUGAGUGACUCGAGUGCGGGAGAGGAGAGUGGAAUUCCUGGUGUAGCGGUGAAAUGCGUAGAUAUCAGGAGGAACACCGGCGGUGU